CCUACGGGCGGCAGCAGUAGGGAAUCUUCCACAAUGGGCGAAAGCCUGAUGGAGCAACGUAGCGUGGGUGAAGAAGGUCUUCGGAUCGUAAAACCCUGUUGUUAGAGAAGAAAGUGCGUGAGAGUAACUGUUCACGUUUCGACGGUAUCUAACCAGAAAGCCACGGCUAACGACGUGCCAGCAGCCGCGGUAAUACGUAGGUGGCAAGCGUUAUCCGGAUUGAUUGGGGGUAAAGGGAACGCAGGUGGUCUUUUAAGUCUGAUGUGAAAGCCUUCGGCUUAACCGGAGUAGUGCAUGUGAAACUGGGAGACUUGAGUGCAGAAGAGGAGAGUGGAACUCCAUGUGUAGCGGUGAAAUGCGUAGAUAUAUGGAAGAACACCAGUGGCGAAGGCGGCUCUCUGGUCUGUAACUGACGCUGAGGUUCGAAAGCGUGGGUAGCAAACAGGAUUAGAUACCCGGGUAGUC
rnacentral:rRNA from 1 species